rnacentral:rRNA from 1 species
UGGGGAAUUUUGGACAAUGGGGGAAACCCUGAUCCAGCCAUCCCGCGUGUGCGAUGAAGGCCUUCGGGUUGUAAAGCACUUUUGGCAGGAAAGAAACGUCAUGGGUUAAUACCCCGUGAAACUGACGGUACCUGCAGAAUAAGCACCGGCUAACUACGUGCCAGCAGCCGCGGUAAUACGUAGGGUGCAAGCGUUAAUCGGAAUUACUGGGCGUAAAGCGUGCGCAGGCGGUUCGGAAAGAAAGUUGUGAAAUCCCGGAGCUCAACUUUGGAACUGCAUUUUUAACUACCGGGCUAGAGUGUGUCAGGGGGAGGUGGAAUUCCGCGUGUAGCAGUGAAAUGCGUAGAUAUGCGGAGGAACACCGAUGGCGGAGGCAGCCUCCUGGGAUAACACUGACGCUCAUGCACGAAAGCGUGGGGAGCAAACAGG